UAUUCCACGACAGCGGACCCCACCGCCUCGUUCCGCCUCCCGAUCGGUCUCCUGUUCGUGGACGACAGCGCCGCCACUGCCGCACCAAACCCCGCGUGAUUCACGCGACCCCUUGCUCCUUUUCCAAUCUGAGGCCGCCGUGUGGUUCCUCUCGAAUCCCUCGAUCAGUCCUCGCAGGCGCCACUUUGUUUUCCCCUAGGAAUCGAGAGUAAGGACCUCGCCAAGCUCUGCCGACUCCGGCGAUACGAACGAUUUCGGGCACUCCAGACCGCACCACAUCGAGCUCUUCAACAAAUCCCGAUCUCGCCGGAGUAUUGCCCUUGCCGGAGCUUCCCGGAACGAUUCCGUUGCCUCUGAACACGGGAUACCGAGCUCCCGACCAUGCCCAAAAUCGCCAGCACCACCGAGCGACGGCGCGCCAGCAGAGGACGCUCCCAUCUCCGUUGAAGCUACCAUCGUCUCCGUCAUCGCAAGCCGCAUCCGCCCUUCACCUCACCUUCACUGGAGAGCUACCGGAGGAGCGCCGCCACCCACGCCCGAAGCCGUCACCGUUUUCCCCCUGCUUCGGUGACCACGCGCGCACAGCUACAUCUCAGCCAAUCUGGAUGUGACACAUGGCGCUAUGCUAUAGUAACCACAGUUCAAAAUCAUGUUUUAGACAGAUUUUCACCAAUUUUUCGUUUAGCUAUAUCUCUUGGUCUGUAUAUCCAAAUUCAUUGAUUCUUUUUCCUGUGUACUCGUAGCGACCAGGAGAAUACAGUAGAACCAAAAUUUCACA